rnacentral:rRNA from 1 species
GACGAACCGUCCAAACGUUACUCGGAAUUACUGGGCUUAAAGGGUGCGUAGGCUGCGCGGAAAGUUAGGUGUGAAAUACCUCGGCUCAACCGAGGAAUUGCAUCUAAAACUACCGUGCUCGAGGGAGACAGAGGUAAGCGGAACUCAAGGUGGAGCGGUGAAAUGCGUUGAUAUCUUGAGGAACACCGGUGGCGAAGGCGGCUUACUGGGUCUCUUCUGACGCUGAGGCACGAAAGCUAAGGUAGCAAAC